CGGAGAAUUCUGUUUUCAGUAACGAAAGUUUACAGGGCUUGUUACACCCGCCUUCACCAUUGCAGUAAUCUUUUUGAAGCAACUGCUAUACCCAAUGCGACUAGUCGGGCAGCUAACAAAAAUUGUUGUUUUCUGAGACCAUGGCAUUGAAGCCCUCAUCAAAGAAAUGACAAAGAAUCAGAUUUGUUCACGAUGAGACACCAGUAGACGGCAGAGAAGUCCCGGUCUUCUGGGGCACAACUGUG